GCUCAGGACGAACGCUGGCGGCGUGCCUAAUACAUGCAAGUCGAACGCAUCCCGCUGAAUUGAAGUGCUUGCACUGAUUUUCAGCAUCGGAUGAGUGGCGAACUGGUGAGUAACACGUGGGUAACCUGCCCAGAAGCGGGGGAUAACACUUGGAAACAGGUGCUAAUACCGCAUAACAACUGAAACCGCAUGGUUUCAGUUUGAAAGAUGGUUUCGGCUAUCACUUCUGGAUGGACCCGCGGCGUAUUAGCUAGUUGGUGGAGUAAUGGUUCACCAAGGCAAUGAUACGUAGCCGACCUGAGAGGGUAAUCGGCCACAUUGGGACUGAGACACGGCCCAAACUCCUACGGGAGGCAGCAGUAGGGAAUCUUCCACAAUGGACGAAAGUCUGAUGGAGCAACGCCGCGUGAGUGAAGAAGGGUUUCGGCUCGUAAAACUCUGUUGUUGAAGAAGAACACAUCUGAGAGUAACUGUUCAGGUGUUGACGGUAUUUAACCAGAAAGCCACGGCUAACUACGUGCCAGCAGCCGCGGUAAUACGUAGGUGGCAAGCGUUGUCCGGAUUUAUUGGGCGUAAAGCGAGCGCAGGCGGUUUCUUAAGUCUGAUGUGAAAGCCUUCGGCUUAACCGGAGAAGUGCAUCGGAAACUGGGAGACUUGAGUGCAGAAGAGGACAGUGGAACUCCAUGUGUAGCGGUGAAAUGCGUAGAUAUAUGGAAGAACACCAGUGGCGAAGGCGGCUGUCUGGUCUGUAACUGACGCU
rnacentral:rRNA from 1 species